CCUCCAAAAUAUGUGAAACUUGAAGGAAUUAGGUUAGAAAAUAUCUUUUAAAAAAUAGAAGUGACACCUCCACUCUGUGGAGACCUACAUGGAACAAGAGAACUGAAGAACUACCUAGUUGUACAGACAGGGUUUCACCAUGUUGGACAGGAUGGUCUCGAUCUCUUGACCUUGUGAUCCACCCGUCUCGGCCUCCCAAAGUACUGGGAUUACAGGUCCUGCUCAUUCUCAUCUACAAGUUCUCAGCACAAACAGCAUUGCUUUAGAGGUUCUCCAGAAAAAUAAAAUCCAUAAGAAAAUUAACGGAAACA
rnacentral:lncRNA from 13 species